rnacentral:rRNA from 1 species
GACGAACGCUGGCGGCGUGCCUAAUACAUGCAAGUAGGACGCAGUUGCGAACGGGUGAGUAACGCGUAGGUAACUACCUAUUAGAGGGGGAUAACUAUUGGAAACGAUAGCUAAUACCGCAUACUAGUAGAUGGACCUGCGUUGUAUUGGCUAGUAGGUAGGGUAAUGGCCUACCUCGGUAACGAUACAUAGCCGACCUAAUAGGGUGAUCGGCCACAGUGGGACUGAGACACGGCACAGAAUGCUACGGAAGGCAGCAGGAGGGAAACGGCGGCGAUGGGGGGAACGCUGACCGAGCAACGCGGCGUGGGUGAAGGAGGUUAUCGGGUCGUAGGGCACUGUUGUUAAGGAAGCGGUACGUAACCAGAAAGGGACGGCUAACUACGUGCCAGCAGCCGCGGUAAUUC